AACGAACGCUGGCGGCAUGCCUAACACAUGCAAGUCGAACGAGACCUUCGGGUCUAGUGGCGCACGGGUGCGUAACGCGUGGGAACCUGCCCUUAGGUUCGGAAUAACUCCCCGAAAGGGGUGCUAAUACCGGAUAAUGUCUUCGGACCAAAGAUUUAUCGCCUUUGGAUGGGCCCGCGUUGGAUUAGCUCGUUGGUAGGGUAAAAGCCUACCAAGGCGACGAUCCAUAGCUGGUCUGAGAGGAUGAUCAGCCACACUGGGACUGAGACACGGCCCAGACUCCUACGGGAGGCAGCAGUGGGGAAUAUUGGACAAUGGGCGAAAGCCUGAUCCAGCAAUGCCGCGUGAGUGAUGAAGGCCUUAGGGUUGUAAAGCGCUUUUACCCGGGAUGAUAAUGACAGUACCGGGAGAAUAAGCUCCGGCUAACUCCGUG
rnacentral:rRNA from 1 species